UGGGGAAUAUUGGACAAUGGGCGCAAGCCUGAUCCAGCCAUACCGCGUGGGUGAAGAAGGCCUUCGGGUUGUAAAGCCCUUUUGUUGGGAAAGAAAUCCUGUCGGUUAAUAACCGGUGGGGAUGACGGUACCCAAAGAAUAAGCACCGGCUAACUUCGUGCCAGCAGCCGCGGUAAUACGAAGGGUGCAAGCGUUACUCGGAAUUACUGGGCGUAAAGCGUGCGGAGGUGGUGGUUUAAGUCUGACGUGAAAGCCCUGGGCUCAACCUGGGGAUGGCAUUUGAAACUGGGCAGCUAGAGUGCGGUAGAGGGUAGUGGAAUUCCCGGUGUAGCAGUGAAAUGCGUAGAGAUCGGGAGGAACAUCUGUGGCGAAGGCGACUGCCUGGUCCAGCACUGACACUGAGGCACGAAAGCGUGGGGAGCAAACA
rnacentral:rRNA from 1 species